AUCCCUAGCUGGUCUGAGAGGAUGACCAGCCACACUGGAACUGAGACACGGUCCAGACUCCUACGGGAGGCAGCAGUGGGGAAUAUUGCACAAUGGGCGCAAGCCUGAUGCAGCCAUGCCGCGUGUGUGAAGAAGGCCUUCGGGUUGUAAAGCACUUUCAGCGGGGAGGAAGGCGUUAAGGUUAAUAACCUUGGCGAUUGACGUUACCCGCAGAAGAAGCACCGGCUAACUCCGUGCCAGCAGCCGCGGUAAUACGGAGGGUGCAAGCGUUAAUCGGAAUUACUGGGCGUAAAGCGCACGCAGGCGGUCUGUCAAGUCGGAUGUGAAAUCCCCGGGCUCAACCUGGGAACUGCAUUCGAAACUGGCAGGCUAGAGUCUUGUAGAGGGGGGUAGAAUUCCAGGUGUAGCGGUGAAAUGCGUAGAGAUCUGGAGGA
rnacentral:rRNA from 1 species